rnacentral:rRNA from 1 species
GGCUCAGAUUGAACGCUGGCGGCAUGCUUUACACAUGCAAGUCGAACGGCAGCACGAAAGAGCUUGCUCUUUUGGUGGCGAGUGGCGAACGGGUGAGUAAUACAUUGGAACGUACCGAGUAAUGGGGGAUAACUGUCCGAAAGGAUGGCUAAUACCGCAUACGCUCUGAGGAGGAAAGCGGGGGACCUUCGGGCCUCGCGUUAUUCGAGCGGCCAAUGUCUGAUUAGCUAGUUGGUGGGGUAAAGGCCUACCAAGGCGACGAUCAGUAGUGGGUCUGAGAGGAUGAUCCGCCACACUGGGACUGAGACACGGCCCAGACUCCUACGGGAGGCAGCAGUGGGGAAUUUUGGACAAUGGGCGAAAGCCUGAUCCAGCCAUGCCGCGUGUCUGAAGAAGGCCUUCGGGUUGUAAAGGACUUUUGUCAGGGAAGAAAGGGUUUGGGUUAAUAGCC